rnacentral:rRNA from 1 species
AAGCGUUGGAGGGAAGAAUGCCUAUGGGUUGUAAACCUCUUUUUUGCAGGGAGGAAUAAAAUGACGUGUACCUGAAGAAUAAGCAUCGGCUAACUCCGUGCCAGCAGCCGCGGUAAGACGGAGGAUGCAAGUGUUAUCCGGAAUCACUGGGCGUAAAGCGUCUGUAGGUGGUUUAAUAAGUCAACUGUUAAAUCUUGAUGGCUCAACUUCAAAAUCGCAGUCGAAACUAUUAGACUAGAGUAUAGUAGAGGUAAAGGGAAUUUCCAGUGGAGCGGUGAAAUGCGUAGAUAUUGGAAAGAACACCGAUGGCGAAAGCACUUUACUGGGCUAUUACUAACACUCAGAGACGAAAGCUAGGGUAGCAAAUGGGAUUAGAUACCCCAGUAGUCCUAGCUGUAAACAAUGGAUACUAGAUGUUGAACAGAUCGACCUGUGCAGUAUCAAAGCUAACGCGUUAAGUAUCCCGCCUGGGAAGUAUGCUCGCAAGAGUGAAACUCAAAGAAAAUUUGACGGA